UACAGAUACAGAAAUGGUCAGCUGCCGC
rnacentral:piRNA from 1 species